UGUACGGUUUAACCUUUAACGCCGGUUUGUGGAAAAGAUUCAUGGGCAUGUAAAAAUAGAUUUCGACCGACACUUAAGUACAUCAAGGGAUGAAGGAAAAAGGGAAAGGCUGCCGAAUUGUCGAAUCAAAGAUUUGAUGCAUUAACUUCUGAUAGAUGAUGACACUAGAUAUUCACCUACAUCAUCUUGAAUUUUGAAAACAGUUGAAAACAGGAGAAAGGCAAUCCUAAAUAUCGGAGAUCCCUCUUUAACUCAAUAAAGGUUCAGGUGUCAUAAAUGGAAAAUGUGAUGCAAUUAAAGAAAAAGGUGAUAAGAUAUUGGAUUAGUGUUGGUAGCUGAACCAGUAUGGAAGUUACUUGUUCUUUCUUACCAACUUACUUGUGGACAGAAAUCAGUAAUCCUGAAAGGUGUUUUGAUUGAUCUAAAUUCCAUACAAACUAAUCUGUACUCCUAAUAUUUUGUAACAUGGAAUGCUGAUCAAUUAUCUGUGACGGGGAAUCACCUUGACAGCAUAAAUUGGCAAAAUAUUCCAGUUAAUGAGAAAUAUGUGUGAAGAAAUUUAGCAAAUCCAAUACUCUGGAAUCCUUGGAUAAAGCUCUUUGUGACAUAUGCUAUUCCUGAAAGUGGCAAUAUCCAACCAAAGUCAAGCAAGCAUAUGAACAAACAACUAUGGAAAGCAGUUAACCCAGGAACUAAAUCCAAAGAUAAACCUAUCAUGAAACACUUGCUUUAUAAACACCAUACUGCAUCUAGACACUUCGCCAUUCAACGAUUCUUUUUAAACGAGCUACAUUGGGCUUCAAUUGAAAAAACCUAAAGGAUGCCGUUGAUGACUUUAUCGGUGCCUGAAUCGUUAUGGGGGACAUGUUAUGGCCAUAGAAAAUUCCGCCUUGAGAAGAACAAAGAUGAUGGUGAUGGUUGACACUGUUUUAGCUAUGGGAACCUGAUAUUUGCAGGCCCCUCUUAUCAUCAAAGGGAAUAUUGAUGAUUCAAGUGUCUUUAAAUGUUACUAACAAAAUGUUAAUUGCGUUUUGUUAGUUUAUUGAAUUUUUUGUUUUGUUUUAGAAAUACCAUAAAACUGUCUCCCCACACCCGUACCCGUGAGGUUGCUUUAGCACAUAGAUGUCGUUGCGUUCUUGGACCAACUUGAGCUACGGGAUGGCGGUUGCAUAACUUGUCAAAGCAGCGUGCGUUUUAUUCUGCAUCCAGCUUAUCCAAAACGUUCGAUGGAUUGAAAAUCGAUCCUCCUCAACAUCCAUUGGUAGAUAACUAGUAUGGAAAUUCUGUGUUACCAACUUACUCCUGGAUAGGAAACAGUAGCACUUAAAGAUUGUAGACCGUUGAAUACUGAUCGGAGAUCUGUGGUUGGAAAUGUACUUGACAGCAUAAAUUAGCCAAAUAUCCUUGGAAUGAAAUACGUGUGAAGAAGUUUAGCAAAACCAAAACUCAAAGUUGCAUGACAGAAGUUAUUCCAUAUUCCACCAUUGUUUAUAUGUUUUGUAAUCGUCCAAGUCAACAGCAUGGUUCAUCUUGUUCAUUACUGUAGAAAUUAAGUUUGGACUUUGCUUUGCUAUCAAAUAACUUACUGUUUUGUUCUUUGAAAUUAUUAGGUCACCGUUACGAAGGAGAUUCUUCAAGUACCCGUUAUGCUCAACCAAGUCUUGGUAUGUUGAAAAAUCUGGGCAUCACAUAUUUCAUCAACAGCGUCUUGCAAAUAGAUAAUUCGCCAUUCAACGAUUCUUCUUUGGAAGAGCUGCAGUAGCCCCAAUUAAACAAAAAGAAUCUUCUAGGCAAUCAAAUUGUCGAAUCCAACGAAUGCCGUUUAUAACCUUAUUGGAGUCUGUAGUCGUUAUGGAGGAUUUGCUGCGGGUACAGCAAAGACCGUUUUGCGAAGAACGAGGAUGGUGGUGUUGGCAUUGUUUGGACGAUAGGCCAUAGGGGUAUUCUAGUCUUUACCAGCAGCCGUUUACAAGACGGAACACAAAGGGUCAAUCAGCAAAUUUGCGAAAAUGAUGGGGAUUCGAGUUUAUUGUAACCCAUGAUUGUACGCCUAUCAGUAUUAAUAUCUAUAUUCGUGCUAUGCUUCGUUUAGAGCGUAAAGGAACGCAUUUUGUUGUCUUAUGAUAUCACAAUUGAUGAGGUACUGGUCUUUACUGUACGGAAGGGUAUUGUUUUUUGUUUGUUUUGUUUCGUUUUUUGUUUGUUUGUUUUUUCUUUUCUUCUUCUUUUAACCCCAUUGCAAUUUUAAAAAUGUGACUGUUACGGUUUCGGGGUAGGUAGGUAAAAUCGGGGUUGAAUCGGUGCGAGAACUUGACGAUAAUGUUCUAGUAUAAACCGAUUGUUUGCGUUUGCCUUUGGGGCGAAAAAGUGUCAACCCUAUACGGAAAAUUCUUCCCCGACUUGUGAACCCCAAUUGCCUCGGGUAUUAUUGUAUAUCUAUGCCAUUUUAGCCUCAACUUUGUAUGUAAACGUAUUAUGAACCGACAAUAAAACUUUUUGCAAAAAAA
rnacentral:lncRNA from 1 species